rnacentral:snRNA from 1 species
GUGCUCACUUUGGCAGCACACAUACUAAAAUUGAAAUGAUACAGCGAAAAUUAGCACGGCCCCUAAGCAAGAAUUGUUAUGCUCAAAUUUGGGACCCCCAAAAGACCA